GGUUCCAUAGUGUAGCAGUCAUCACGUCUCCUUUACAUGCAGAAGGUCCUGGAUUCAAUCCCCAGUGGAACCA
rnacentral:tRNA from 1 species